rnacentral:rRNA from 1 species
GAUGAACGCUAGCGGGAGGCCUAACACAUGCAAGCCGAGCGGUAUUUGUUUUUUGGCACAGUGCGAGCGGCGCACGCGUGCGGAUCACGUGUGCAACCUGCCUUUAUCUGGGGGAUAGACUUUCGAAAGGAAGAGUAAUAUACCAUAGUAUAUUGAGUGGCAUCAUUUGGUAUUGAAAACUCUGUUGGUUAGAGAUGGGCUCGCGCACGAUUAGAUAGUUGGUGAGGUAACGGCUCACCAAGUCAAUGAUCUUUAGGGGGCCUGAGAGGGUGAACCCCCACGCUGGUACUGAGACACGGGCCAGACGCCUACGGGAGGCAGCAGUGAGGAAUAUGGGACGAUGGGUUAUCGCCUGAUCCAGCCAGCCCGCGUGAAGGACGCCGGCCCGAUGGGUUGUAAACUUCUUUUGUAUAGGGAUAAACCUACGCACGUGAGAGUAGCUGAAGGUACUAUACGAAUAAGCACCGGCUAACUCCGUG